AGGACAAACGCUGGCGGCGUACUUAAGACAUGCAAGUCGAACGGGCGCUUCACCUUCGGGUGGGUGUGCUAGUGGCGGACGGGUGAGUAACGCGUAGGAACCUGUCAUCAAGAGGGGGAUAACGCUGGGAAACCGGCGCUAAUACCGCAUGUGGUCAUGAAAAUGAAGAAAGCAGCAAUGCGCUUGAUGAGGGGCCUGCGUCCGAUUAGCUUGUUGGUGGGGUAAAGGCCUACCAAGGCAUCGAUCGGUAGCUGGUCUGAGAGGAUGGUCAGCCACACUGGGACUGAGACACGGCCCAGACUCCUACGGGAGGCAGCAGUUAGGAAAUUUUCCCAAUGGGCGCAAGCCUGAGGGAGUAACGCCGCGUGGAGGAUGACGGCUUUCGGGUUGUAAACUCCUUUUCUGUGGGAAGAGUAGAAGACGGUACCGCAGGAAUAAGCCUCGGCUAACUACGCGCCAGCAGCCGC
rnacentral:rRNA from 1 species